GGAUUUAGUAUGGGAUGGGAAUUCAGAGAAAAACAAUUAAGUUGUGCAAAGGGAGAGAGUAAUAGUUCACACGAUAGUCCUGUAACCAGAGAUUGCUUUCGUAUUUUCUGUUGUGUUUUAAAUGUGUGGGAAGGAAUGUGAGGGUGGAAUAUGACAAGUAUGUGCAAACUUCAGGAUGCUGAGAGGAGAAGAGAGCUAAGAUAAAAUAAUUGUAAAUGGAUUAGGGAAGGAAUAGGAAAACUUCCUGAAAGUGAUAUCUUGAAGCUUGUGGUCAGUAUCUCGAAGGAUCCUUAUCCUGCGGGACUUUCCAGAUAUUCUGGACUUUGAAGCAUAGGUGAUGUCUGCAGGAGGAGUAACAGUGCAGUAGCAAGAUGACAGAUGCGGAAAUUCCUUGCCCUUGCUCAGUUUGUCAGCUGAAAAGUUGCAGCAAGAUGAUCUUCCUGCUUUUAUAGAUGGCCUUUGUAGGUAUAAAAGCAUCCGGCUUGUACUUCUGGUGCUCAGCUCUGUGCUUUGUGUUAAAAGGGACUGUUCUUAGUCCCAAUGCAAAUGGUGGAGAUUGGAAUGCUCUUAUUGCUCAUGAGGAUACAGGUGACCCCAUUGGAAAAUCUCUCUGUAUCUCCUGAAUUUGACAGUUUUAAAGCAAAAGCCUUAAAAAUAUUUCCUUUAAAACAUAUCUGUAACAAAUAAGGGUUUGGAGUGAUUAUAAUCCAACCUUAUGUGCCUGUUGAAGGAGGUCGCAGAGCAGCCUUUGCCAGCUCAAAAGCAAAGCAGUUUGUGAGAUGUGACACUGUGCCAGAGAUAAGUUCAUAGUAAUUCAGGAAGAAGGAUGGUGAGAAACAUCAGCUGUUGCAGACUUGGGUUGACCUUUAUUCAUUUCACCUCGAGAUUUGGAAUGUGUAUUACUGCCGGAAGCUAUUCUACUUAGUAUAUGUCACGGACAGUAAUGCUGAGCUGACUUGCCUGCAGCCUUAUUCAGUGAUGCUGGGGUACAGGGCACGAUAAAGCCUCAGGCAUUCCAGUGGGUUGGAUGGUACGUGGCUGUCAGAGCACUAUUACAUGUCAUGCUGUGGGCACGAGUCUCAAAUCAGCCUUUCAGUUACUGGAUUCAAAAGUAAUAAAAAUGGCAUUCUGCCAGGAAACCUGUUCUGUGUGAUGAAGUCUACUAGUAAGAAAAAAACAACAAACAACUCUGUCAGUGUAGAUGAAAUGAGGUAAUUGGCUCCAAGAAGCCUGGAGUUAGCUGCAAUCAUCUCUGCAGGUUCUGAGCUUUCUUAAACUACUCCGCAAUUUACCUGAAGUAACUUUUGGUAGAAGCCCAAGCCAUAAAAUGGCAUGCUCAACAGGCCAGCAAAUAUUUCAUUAGCUCUGACAGACCCUGCAGGUAUAUUUAGGUGCAGCUUUACCAAACCGGCCAGGAGUGGUGUGAGACAAGGCCUGGGCACUGGGGUGUUCCUCGUGCUGAAGCUCUCUGCACUGGGAUGGCCGCUGCGGGCGUGGAAGGAGUUCUCACAGAUGUUCCACCUCUGAAAUCCUGAUGGCAACUGUUUUACCGGAUUCCUGGUGUCCUGGGCACAGUGCCUAUUUUGAUGGGUGGUGAAGGACACCAGGAAUGCAGGGUGGAGUCCAUUACUGUCUCUGUGUUAAGGCACUUGCCAGUGAUGCUGAGGGAGCUGCAGUGGUGUUUUUCUGGACUGCACUGUUGUCAAGAAGACCUGCUCUCCAUUUGACUCUGGUCUCUGCUGUUGCUUUCUAAGGACAUGUAUUUCUACUUAAGUUUCUUCAGAUGUGUAAAUGAUCUCUUAAAGGAGGAAAGUUGGGGCAAUGAGAGCAAAGCAGCAACAUGACUCAAGUGCAUCUAGGGGUGGAUGUCUCUCAUUCGCUGUAUCUGGUCAUGUUGUCUCUGGUCCCUGAGAUCUCCAGAGCCUUACACUUCACGUAGCAUCUGUAAAGCCACUCUAGUGAGCAGACCAGACAGUGAUGACUUUUUUUUUUUUUUUUUUUUUUCCUAAUUGCUGUUAAGUCCUUCUGGCUUAGCAAUAAUUUUGAUACUCAACUAUGUUGGGACCUUUAAUGUAGAGCUGGGAACUGUCUUCUAAUCUGUUCAGUGCUCUGGGCUGUAGUGAGGUUUCACGUCAUCUAAAAGCAUUAUGAGACUGGUGGUUUUGGUGGGUUUUGUUUGGAGUGUCAUUGGAGAAACUAUGGGUUAUUUUAGUGAGAUAAAAUCCUUUAUUUUUAUUUCAAUAGCAUCACUAACUUACCAAAUUAUUCCUUUCUUGCAGAAUAAUAAAUAUUAUUUUUGAAAAGUAUAGCAGCACAGUAACUACAUCCCACUCUAUUACUACACAACCACUUCCUUCAGGAACAGGAAGAAACGUAUGCUUAGUAUAACACAGCAGCUUAGUUUAUUUGGAAAUAUGUUUAACUUUGCUGAAGAGAUUCAGUACGCCUAGGGGAAGGUACAAGAGAACCAUGUGCUGGUAGAAUUGGUGAUUGUACAAAUAGCACUUCAGCACUUCUGUUUUUCACAGUAGACCAAGAUCCUUUCCUAAAUAUAGCCACGUUUACCAGUUCAUAGAGAAAACAGCGUGUCAAAUCCACCUUUUAUUUUCUUCUUUUCUGAUGCCUUGCCUGCCUUCUGAAGUGAUAAAUAGCCAGGAUUUCCAGAAGAGAUUUUUGGGUGCUUCAGUCAACCGAUGUCCCUCUUUGCAGACAGUAACAGAUAUUUGAAAAUCAGCUCUGAAAUUAUGCCAGUUACUCAAUGUAGUCACCUAAAGAUAUUAAUCUGAUUUUCUGCUGGUUUUACAUAUGGGGAUUGCAUAAUGAGCUAUGUUUAUAGGAUAAUGAAAGUUAAAGUCCCUUGUUGUUCCUGGGAAUACUCAGUGGUUUAGUCUGACUUUUAAAAACAAGGACCAGGAGUUUUACACACCUAAAUUUUAAUUUAACUACAACCAUUAUGUUUGAAGCCAUUAGGGCUCUGCUGUGUUCUGGAUGGACAAUACUGGAAGAUAGUGUUGAACACAGUUAAGAAUCUGACCUCACAGUCUAAAAAAUCCAGGACUUUAUUGCUAAGCAGCAUCACUGACCCCUGUCUGAAGGAACCACUGGUGCACUGCAGGAAAACUGUUCAAACCCACCCAAAUAAAAACUGAAGCAUUGGCUAAUUAAAAACAAAACAAACUUACAGAAAGAAAACUUUUCAGCUGAGCCGAGCUGGAACUUCUGAAAAUGAAGUUCACUCUCACUAAUACUGCUGUAGUUCAGGUCCCUUUGGGGCACUGGCUGCCAGUGCCUAACUAUAUACAAAGGGUAUAUAUUCAUACUUGCUGUUUUCAGUUUAAUGGAAGGAGGGGGCUCUGUAGCCAGUUGUGAGUGUUGCAUCCUAGAAAUGUCUAGCUCCAUUUCCUAUUAAUGAAAUUUUUCCAUACAAACCUACAUUCUACCGAUUUCACUUCCCAAGGGACUGUAGAUUCUGUGCAGCAUGGAGGGAUAGCCCCAGUCAAUAGCUCAGCGUGGUUUAAACAGUAAGUCGUCACCUAUUGCCUUAAAAACACUGUGUGUGAAGUCCUUCCGGAUCCUUUAAUUGCCAGCAUUCACAAUACUUGGUUGUAACAGUUGAUUCUCUUAAGGCUUUGGUGCUCCACUACAGUUUUUUUUCCUAACUUCCUUUUGCCUUGUUAAUGGCACUAACACCUGCCUCUUGUCUUAAGAUACUGAUAAUUCCUGGUGUCUUAACUGGAUACCAGCAACUUCAAGAGGCUGUUAAAUUUUACAGAACCCAGUGAGUGUUUCUUCCCCUCCAGCAUGUAUUCUCCCUUAAAAGCAGUUUUCCCCAUAACUCUGUUAAUGUAUGCAGGUGCUGUACAGAGUCCAACCCACAGCAGAUACAGUAGAUACUAACAGCUACAGAGCUUAAUGGGAUGUUGUAUGUAUCAAGAAGGAUGCAAUAACUACCUAUGACUAUUCAGCCUUUGGAUGUUUUGUCCUCGUUCCUGUGUCUUUGGUCAAAAAUAUUUAAAGUGCUUCAUGUCUUGGUGGAAGCUGUCUGUGUUUUGUUCUGUUUUUCACUUUGAUCCUUAAACCUUAAGGAACUUACUGACAUAUGUUCUUUAUCUCAAGUGAGUCUGCAAUACUGAAACAAAUGAUUCUGGAAACGCAGAUGUUCUUCAUCGAAUCAGUCUGAUGCUAGGGAUUAGUCUUAUUUGUACAAGAGUAGUCUGACUUCUGACAGUGUCUGUCUCCUCAAACCUUAAUAAGAUACUCUCUCUCUAAAAAAUAUUACUGUUCAUCUUUUUUGGGUAACUGCUGUUAAUUUUUUUUUUCUUCCUUUACUGUAACUGUGGUUCCUUUGUAUGUAAGUGCACACUUCACUUAGCUGGCUUUACAAAAUGGAAGU